CUUUCUGCCAGUCUGCUGGUGUGGGUGUAUACAAGUCAAAUGGGGUUGGCGGGGUGUGAGGGGGGUCAUCUGUGAUUUCCUUUGUUCUCCUGAGGCAGCAGGACAGGGCGAUGUUUUCCAGGCUGGGUAGGGGGCAGCCGAUUAUCUUUUGGGCGGUGUUUAUGACCUCUGCACCACCUUCUUGUCCUCAGCUGUGGAGCCUGAGUACCACACACCCAGACAGUACGCCAGUACGCUCUCCAACAAGGAAUGAUAGAAGGUCAGCAGCAGCUUUGUGUCUAGGUUGUUAUUUCUGAGGUCACGCAGGAAGUGGAGCUGCUGUUGGGCCUUCUUUGCCAUAUAUAAAUCCUACGUCUGUCUACUCUUCCUGGAUUUCUCCUCAGCCUUCAAUACCAUCAUCCCACAGACCUUGAUGAAUCUCUUCUCUUGGACCGAGUCCCACACUGGGGAACUGGGUCGUGGACUUCCUGACCAACAGACCUUGGACUGUCUCCUCCUCCAUUACCCUCAGCACUGGCUCGCCCCAGGGCUGCGUGUUGAGCCCCCUCCCUUUCACUCUGCUGACGUAUGACUGCUGAGACAUCCCAGCUGUCAUAUAGUGAGGUUCACAGGUGACACGGCAGUAGUGGGACGAAUCACGAAUAAUGAUGAGUCCAAAUACAGAUAGGAGGUGGAACACCUGGUGCAGUGGUGCAGAGAAAACAACCUGUGAAGAAGACUAAGAGGUGAAGAAGGACUAAGGGACAAGCGCCCUCUCCCUCCCCUGCACAUCGGAGGAGCAACUGUGGAAGUGAUCCCCAGCUUCAGAUUCCUGUGGAAUACUGGACCUGGGAGCUCAGUCCUGAGGAACUUCUACCACUGUGUACAGCAUCCUCUGCACCUGUAGCACCGUAUGGCACAGCAGCUGCACUGCUGCUAAGGCUCUGUAGAGGGUGGAAAAGGCUGCACAGAGGACUGUGGGGAGCAAUCUUCCCAACACUCCGGACCUCUACACAUCACAAUGCAGCGGGAGUCAUGAAGGACUCCACCCAUCCCGCACACAUACUGUUUCAGCCUCUCCCCUCAGGCAGGAGGCUGAGGAGGUUUCAGAGCAAGACCACCAGACUCAGAAACAGCUUCUUCCUUGAAGCUGUCAGACUGCUGAACUUGAGCCACACUCUGUACACUCUCUCACUACACAAUGACCUGCACUAAACACUUCACCCACCAAACGUGCAAUAUUUCACUGGCUUAUAGAUGCAAUAUUACGGAUUACGUUAUGCUUUUAAAUGUGUAUUUAGUACUUUGCGAAGCUAACAUCAGCUCCACUAUUUAACUGUGUAUAUUUCUAUUUUUUGCUCUUCGCUGCAUGUAUUUUUACUGAUUGCUAUUUAUUGUUAGACUUAGCUUUGGUUGUUAUAGUUAGUUUUCUUUUUACUUAAUUAUUAGGCUUCUUAACCGGGACCUGAGUCCGAAUUUCAUACCUUAACAUGGAAGCGUGAGCUGGUAUUACAAUAAAAGUUCCUUGAAUCCUU